GGCAUGGUAAGACUUAUAGGCUUGAAGGCGCUACUUCAAAUUCCUUAGCAGUUAGCACCUUCACCUUCUCAAACAUUCUCCUCUUCCUUUUCACUAUCCAAAACUGGACCUCACUUUACCCGAACCCAUCAUGUUCGGCCCGGCCCAACCCGCUUCCAAGCCUCCCAAUUCCACCAUCAAACUCCUCUGCAGUUACGGCGGCAGAAUCCUCCCUCGCUACCCCGACGGCAAGCUCCGCUACCUCGGCGGCCACACCCGCGUCCUCGCCGUCCACCGCUCCAUCCUCUUCUCCGAGCUACUGCUGAAGCUGGAAGAGCUCUGCGGCGCCUCCGUGAGGCACCUUCGCUGCCAAUUACCCUCCGAAGACCUCGACGCCUUGGUUUCCAUCACCUCCGACGAAGAUCUCGCCAACCUCAUCGAGGAAUACGACCGCGUUUCCUCCGUCAAGAUCAGAGCCUUUCUCUCGCCGCCGUCACCGCCGAGAUCUCCCACCAAACUUUCCACACCGCCGUCCAAAUCCUCUUCCUCCUCCGUCUCCUCCUCCUCCUCCUCCUCCUCGUCCUCGUCCUCGUCGUAUUGCAGCCCUACCGCCGCCGCCGUCUCUGGCCGGACUUACAGAACGUCGGCGCCGUCGGUCGACCGUUGCGUCCACCAGAUGUCGCCGGCGCCGGCGUAUCCGGUCGUGGUACAGAAAUCGAAAUCGUCCGGGAGGAAUGUUCCUCUGCCGCGCUACGGUUACCAUGGGAACAAUGGCCACGUUUAUCUGAUUCACAACGGGAACCACUGGCAAUAGCGAAACGGUGUCGUUUAGAUGAAGUGUUGGAAUAGUGGAAUGGAAGUACUGGUGUUAUUAUUAUAAAAAGAAAAUGAUAUAUAAAAAAGAAUAUUAUAAAAACCAAGACUGAAAACAAAAGGGGGAAAGGAGAGUCCUGAAUAUGUGUGAUGUAAAAUCGUUGACAAGUCAAGGAUUGUGGUUUUAGCUUGUGAUCCUUGAUUGCCCAUUAAUGAAUUUCUCUCCAAUUUCGUGUUUGGUUUAAUUGAGGACUGAGAAUAUUUUACUCGCACGAGACAGCAUUUGGCGCGUUUCCAUUGUAAGUUUGUUUUACCCGACAUAAAUUUGUUUAUGUUCCUGGCAUCAUUCAUUACCAUACGUUUUUCUUUAUUUGAUGCUUCAAUUUUUGAAAUUUAUUGAUUCUUAUUCUUGUUCCAUUGUUAGUUAUGAAUUGUUAUAUGCUUCUAAAAAUGCUUCGUGGAAAUUAGAUUUAUUUUCUUUGUUCUGGGGCUUAUGCAAAACCUUCAGAUUUUAGAACUAACUUCUUUGUUCAGCGACCUCUAUUGUCUGCAUAAAUUCUCUCCAUGUUAAAUUCCUUUUGAGUUCUGGGAUUCUGGCCAGGUUCAAAGGAACUAAUGAAAUGCUGAUAUAAACACUGAACUAUGAACACGGGAGGACAUGUUAGAUUCUUGAGAACACCAAAAGAGAUUGCAGGGCAAUGUUGGAACGCAUAUAGCACAUGGGGGACCAGACUCGAUGCAAGAGAUAAAUUGAACUCGUAAUGAAAUUUAGAACUAUCUCUUGACAGCUGGCACAUGAAUGUUCAAAGAACUUGAACUCAAGGUGUGAAUAAAUGGAACAAAACUACAAAUUGAUAGAACCAACAUAAAUUGAGAAUAUUUUCCUUUUUUGAAAAGAAGGAAAAGUAACAAAAGAACGAGAGAGAAAAGACUAAAAAUUGGCUCGUCCUUUCGGCAUGUAAGAUUUUGUAUUGGAAGUAAAAGGACCUCCACUCAUGUAACAUUCAGAGGGAAGGUUCCUUUCGCUGUCUUAGUUUUUGGAGAAGAUAUGAGAGAUAUUUCACCAACCCAAUUACCCGGAAUCAAUUAAUUAUUUUAUUAAUUAAAAUUUAAAACAAUGCCAAAAUAGGCUUGAAACAGAGUUCGUCUAUGUUAACUUCAGCAAGACGAUUUAAGGAUAUUCUA